GCGAAUAUAAAAAAAGGAUUAACAAUGUCACAAGAGUGUAUGAACAAUGUCCUAUCGUAAUGGUGGGUCGGAAUGUGAUAUACUACGACGACGAGAUAAGUAUAGCUGAGAAGGUAAAAUAUAUUAAAAAGAAUGGAUAUGCGGGAUUUGAACUAUUAGACAUGACUGCAGAUGAUUUCACUGGAAAUUGUGGUAAAGGAAAAUUUCCUCUUAUGAAAGCUGUACUAGCGGAGUGUGGCAAACCUUGAGGCUCAUUAUUGGAGAAAUGGACGACUUUUUUAAAAAUUUAAAAUUAAAAUAUUUUAUCAAACCUUUUC
rnacentral:sRNA from 1 species